rnacentral:rRNA from 1 species
GGAGGGGGCUAGCGUUGUUCGGAAUUACUGGGCGUAAAGGGCGUGUAGGCGGCUUUGACAGUCAGGCGUGAAAGCCCCGGGCUUAACCUGGGAAUUGCGCUUGAAACAUCGAGGCUAGAGUUCGGGAGAGGAGAGUGGAAUUCCCAGUGUAGAGGUGAAAUUCGUAGAUAUUGGGAAGAACACCAGUGGCGAAGGCGGCUCUCUGGACCGAUACUGACGCUAAGGCGCGAAAGCGUGGGGAGCAAACAGGAUUAGAUACCCUGGUAGUCCACGCCGUAAACGAUGUGCGCUAGACGUUGGGGGUUAUGCCCUUCAGUGUCGCAGCUAACGCAUUAAGCGCACCGCCUGGGGAGUACGGCCGCAAGGUUA